AGUGAACGCUGGCGGCAGGCCUAACACAUGCAAGUCGAACGGCAGCACAGAGGAGCUUGCUCCUUGGGUGGCGAGUGGCGGACGGGUGAGGAAUGCGUCGGAAUCUGCCUGUUUGUGGGGGAUAACGUAGGGAAACUUACGCUAAUACCGCAUACGACCUACGGGUGAAAGUGGGGGACCGCAUGGCCUCAGGCAGCAAGAUGAGCCGACGACGGAUUAGCUAGUUGGCGGGGUAAAGGCCCACCAAGGCGACGAUCCGUAGCUGGUCUGAGAGGAUGAUCAGCCACACUGGGACUGAGACACGGCCCAGACUCCUACGGGAGGCAGCAGUGGGGAAUAUUGGACAAUGGGCGCAAGCCUGAUCCAGCCAUGCCGCGUGUGUGAAGAAGGCCUUCGGGUUGUAAAGCACUUUUGUCCGGAAAGAAAUCCUUUCGAUUAAUACUCGGGAGGGAUGACGGUACCGGAAGAAUAAGCACCGGCUAACUUCGUGCCAGCCGCCGCAGUAACAC
rnacentral:rRNA from 1 species